CCCGGGACGCUACCCGCGAGCACCAUGGCAGAACCCUAGCGCCGCCACCCUCCGGGCGUCCUCCUCCCCUUCUUCCCCUCGCCGCCGCCGGUGGGCGCGGGCGGUGGCGGGGCUUCUCCUCCUCUCCCGUCUGGAUUCAUGGGCUGCGCGGGCGCCGUUUUGGCCUCUGGCGGCGGGGUCAGGCGGUGCCGGCGGCGGCUUUGCAGGGGCGGCGGCGGUGCGGCGCUGUUGCGGGGCGUCCCGGUCGGCUCCGGGAUAUGGAAGCGGCGGCCGGCUGGGACUCUGCCUAGAUCCGGUUCGUCUCGUCCUUGGGUGCCUCGGGUGCUACUCGGGGCUCAAGUGUUCGCGGCGCGGCUCGGGUGGCCUGCCGGUGGCAUGGAUGGCUAGGGCGCGUCGGGUUUCCUGGUGCAGGGAGCGAGCGUGGCUGCCGGGCGGAGGUGCUUUCGGUGGCGGUGUAUCUGCACAUCGGCUCCCUACGGCGCGGGCUGAGAGCGCCAUGGCCUGGCCCUGGUGGUUGGUGACCCCGAGGUCGUCGGGCGGCAGCUGCUGACGGCGGUCGUGUCAGCAGCUCUUCUCGCGGGCAUGGAGGCGGGGCUGAGGUUAGUGGGUGGUGGCUAUGGUGUUGAACGGCGGUGACGGGACUUGGCUAGGCGAGCCGAGGGGUUAUGCAGAGAAGAAGACUGACACUGUUGUAGUUCCUGCAGUCGGAAACAACUUUGAUUCACUUGGAGAAGCAUAUGACUAUUACAACCUGUAUUCCUGGGAAAUUAGGUUUGGAAUUAGGUACGGAAAAAGGAGACUGAACGUUGAGAGAACAAAAUGUAUGCAGGAGAUAGUCUGCGACUGCUCGGGGUCCCAAAAAGAAGUAAUACACGGUCUUACCGAUGUAGGUGCCCAGCGAUGAUACGGUUGCUCUGGUCAAGAGACAACGGCGGGUACAUAAACGAGCACAUGCCAUCCAUAAUCACUCUCUUACAGAUAAGUCUGGCUAGAAAGUAUACUCGCAGACAUAUCGAUAUAUACACACGUGACCUUGUUAAGUAGCUCCGUGAAAAUAAUGUUAGCUUCUGCAAGGUGUACAAUAUAAUUUAUACACUCGGAUUGCCACCAUAAAAUGUUCUCUUGGAUAUAGCUUUUCGGUGCCACCAAAAAUUGCCUAUAUUGGUGUCGAUAAUCACUCGUAAAAUGGAAAGAAUUGGGAGGUGUGUUAAAAUUGUGAGAUAGCCUUGUAGGAUGAGGUGCUCUAUUGUACUUGAGCAAGGAUCUGGAGUAUUAGUUGUGUUCUUGCAUGAAGCACUUACUUUUAGCCUAGACUAUUUACAGAUUGAGACUGACAUUCACAUGUGAAUUACUUAAUUCAGUAUGUUACAACUUAAUACCGUACUGAGUACAGUACUAUUACUGACUUUGGCUUUGUGCGACCUUGCAUCAGUACUAUAUUUUUGGCAUCUAUAGAACACUUGUGUAGUUUCUUGGUUUUAAACAUUUAAUCAGCUUCCAUCCACUUCAAAUGUAGUUAAUUGGCCUUAGUUUUAUCAGCAGUCCAUGGUUAUUUGAUAAUUGAUAGACUUAGAAUUGAAGUAGCUUUUGCACAGCAUGGCAGCUCCUGUCAAACAUAUUCUUUUUUUCCUUUGCCUAACAUUAGCAAAACCUGAACAGUCCACAAAUAGUUCUCCUUGUUUUUUGCUAGUUCUUGCACAUACAUUAGAUGACUUCUGAGCUGCCAACAAAGCCAAUUUUUUUCUUGGUUUUUUGUUUGGAGAAUGGAUAAGCAGCAUUCAUUUUGUUAAGUCUUUACAUGCUUGUUCAUGCAAAGAUCUGUUUGCAUGCUGCAUUCAUGCAUAUCAAGACUUUUAAUUCAUUUAUUUCUUAUCGCGGAUUUGACCUAUGUAGCAUCCAGAAAAAAGAUGCCUCACAUUUAUCACGGGUUUGAACUGAUUUUUGGUAUAUGAGGCCAUGAACUGAGAUUCCAUUAUUAUUUUUACUGCUAUUUCCUUAAAAUUUUCGUUUCUUACAAGAAUUUGAGUAUUUCACGCUAUGUUUCAAUUUGCGAUGAUUAGAGAAGAUGGUGGAGGAGGCUGCUAGGCUUGCCAAGGUGAUGGGAGAGGAACUAAUUAAUUGUUAGUUUACUUAAGCAUCUUGCAGAGUGAGUUCUGUUUUCGCGACUAGUUUCGCCACAAUAAAUCUGAGAAUGAACGUUGGGCUCAUAUGAAAGCCUAUUUUGUUGUUCCUGUAAAACAUAUUCCUUUUUUAUCGUUCACAGAUUCUCCUUGGUUUGGUCUUGGAGAAGAUAAUUCUUUCUCAUGCCGGACAAUUUGAAUGCUUACUACCUACGAAGCAUGGACACGGCAGGAAUUGCUAAUCUGCCAUUCGGAUAUGGCGGGAUACGGGGAGACGGGGACACAGCAGGAUAUCCGUAUCCCCCAUUAAAAUGAAAGAAAAAAAAUGCGGGGUACGGUGGGAUACGUAUGUGACACAGUUGGGAUACGACCUGGCCCCAAAACAGCCCUGGCCCAAAACGAAACCCUAUUUUUUUGCAUGAGUCGCAGGGACCUCUCCACACAAAAACGAGGUGCUCCCAGGUCGCAGCCUCUCCUGGAUCGAAGACAUCAUCGCCUGGACUCAACCGGCGACCACUACCCCAGCACCAGCAGACAGCAGCCUCUCCUCCCGACGGCAGGUAACAUGGCAUGGGGGGACGAGGAUCAAUCAAGCACUUGAUAAAAGAGACACCAAAUGGGGCAGUAUUCUCUAUUCUGAUCUCUUUCUCAUUAAUUUUCUGUCUUAACUUUAUAUGUGGAUCAACCCAAUCACUGGGUGGAUUAAUUCCACUAGGGGAUUGGUUCCCCUAUAACCAAACAAGGCCUACGGUUGUCCUGCAUCUGGUGGAACAUCGUAACAAAGAUGGACUUUGCCUUAGCCGUGUAGCCAGUUUCAGAAAUGGUGUUCAUCGUGUACUUGGUUUUUCCUGUAGGGCGAGUGCAGUUUUUGUUUUUUGGUUUGGACCUACAUAAAUUAUGUUGUUCAAUCAUACGGGCGGGGAUUCUAACUUGUGGAGCCCAUGUCAUGAAUUUUCAGGCAGCAUGGGUGAUGAAAGCUAAACGCCAUUGGAGCAGCAUGCGAGUGAGGUGUACACUAGGGCCCAUGUUCGAGAAGUUUGGCGAGAUACUGUACGAAGCAGGGCAGUACAAGGUCGAACCUGUUGAGCAAGGCAUGAAGUACCUAGUGCGGCAGCACCAUCCGGAGAGGCAUGACAAAUGGUGCAAGGUGGUGUAUGAGGUCACAGUUAGGGGGUGAUCAGUUUCUAUGCGACGGUGUUUAAUGGACCAACAUGCGGCAUCUCGAUUAAUGAUGCUACUUGGGUGCAAGUCAUGGAUUUUAUGGGAGUCACGGAGACACACCAGACAGGUGUGACAUGCCGAAGAAACCGAGGAGGUAGCUGAAAUGCACCAACUGUGCCGUAGGUGGUCACCGGCGAAACACAUGCGGAAACCCAAGUAUCGUGCUUCAUGCAGUGCCUCCUGCUGAAACCCCAAUCCGGCUGGAGGGGACAGGUUUGUAGUUAGCUUUGUUUCUAGUUUUGCGUCCAAUUUGUAAAAUUUGAUUUUGUCUUGCUAGUAGGAUUUUCUUAAGGCUGGUCAUAGUGAGAGUAAUAUAGGUAGUAACAUAGAUGCCACAUAAGCAAAAAGAGUGAGGUGGCAAGUAGUUAAUGAGGAGAGAGGCAAAUGGAGUAACAUAAUAUGUUACCAUGACAUAGCGCUUCCCAAUGCAAAAUGAGUCUACAAAGUAAUAAAUGAAGGUAUCUAUGUUACCACAUAUAUGACACCACCCACUAUGAAGGUAGUAACAUAUGCAUGUUACUAGUCUAAGUUACUCUCCACUAUGACCAGCCUAAACCUGUGUGCAUUUAACGUAACCCUG